rnacentral:ncRNA from 19 species
CUACGGUGGGUGCGUGAUGGUCCCCGCGCCGAAAGGCAAGGGGUGAAAAGGGAACACGGUGAGACCUCAAAAGGUCGAGACCGUGGCUGCCCCCGCAACUGUAAGCGGAGAGCAAGAUCCGACAUGCCACUGGCCGGCAAGGCUGGGAAGGCAGGAUUGCGCUGAGACCCGCGAGCCAGGAGACCUGCCAUCACUGAGUUGACCGGA